CCUACAGGGGGCAGCAGUGGGGAAUAUUGGACAAUGGGGGGAACCCUGAUCCAGCCAUGCCGCGUGUGUGAAGAAGGCCCUCGGGUUGUAAAGCACUUUCAGUGAGGAAGAACGCCUGGUGGUUAAUACCCAUCAGGAAAGACAUCACUCACAGAAGAAGCACCGGCUAACUCCGUGCCAGCAGCCGCGGUAAUACGGAGGGUGCGAGCGUUAAUCGGAAUUACUGGGCGUAAAGCGCGCGUAGGUGGCUUGAUAAGCCGGUUGUGAAAGCCCCGGGCUCAACCUGGGAACGGCAUCCGGAACUGUCAAGCUAGAGUGCAGGAGAGGAAGGUAGAAUUCCCGGUGUAGCGGUGAAAUGCGUAGAGAUCGGGAGGAAUACCAGUGGCGAAGGCGGCCUUCUGGACUGACACUGACACUGAGGUGCGAAAGCGUGGGUAGCAAACAGGAUUAGAUACCCCAGUAGUC
rnacentral:rRNA from 1 species